rnacentral:rRNA from 1 species
UGAUCCUGGCUCAGGAUGAACGCUAGCGGCAGGCUUAACACAUGCAAGUCGAGGGGUAUAAGUCUUCGGAUUUAGAGACCGGCGCACGGGUGCGUAACGCGUAUGCAAUCUACCUUUUACAGAGGGAUAGCCCAGAGAAAUUUGGAUUAAUACCUCAUAGCAUAGCAGCUUCGCAUGAAGCCACUAUUAAAGUCACAACGGUAAAAGAUGAGCAUGCGUCCCAUUAGCUAGUUGGUAAGGUAACGGCUUACCAAGGCUACGAUGGGUAGGGGUCCUGAGAGGGAGAUCCCCCACACUGGUACUGAGACACGGACCAGACUCCUACGGGAGGCAGCAGUGAGGAAUAUUGGACAAUGGGCGCAAGCCUGAUCCAGCCAUGCCGCGUGCAGGAUGACGGUCCUAUGGAUUGUAAACUGCUUUUAUACGAGAAGAAACACUCCUUCGUGAAGGAGCUUGACGGUAUCGUAAG